AUUGAACGCUGGCGGCAGGCUUAACACAUGCAAGUCGAGCGGGGAAGGGUAGCUUGCUACCUGACCUAGCGGCGGACGGGUGAGUAAUGCUUAGGAAUCUGCCUAUUAGUGGGGGACAACAUUCCGAAAGGAAUGCUAAUACCGCAUACGCCCUACGGGGGAAAGCAGGGGAUCUUCGGACCUUGCGCUAAUAGAUGAGCCUAAGUCAGAUUAGCUAGUUGGUGGGGUAAAGGCCUACCAAGGCGACGAUCUGUAGCGGGUCUGAGAGGAUGAUCCGCCACACUGGGACUGAGACACGGCCCAGACUCCUACGGGAGGCAGCAGUGGGGAAUAUUGGACAAUGGGCGAAAGCCUGAUCCAGCCAUGCCGCGUGUGUGAAGAAGGCCUUUUGGUUGUAAAGCACUUUAAGCGAGGAGGAGGCUACUUGGAUUAAUACUCUAGGAUAGUGGACGUUACUCGCAGAAUAAGCACCGGCUAACUCUGUGCCAGCAGCCGCAGUAAAAC
rnacentral:rRNA from 1 species